GUAGGUGGCAAGCGUUGUCCGGAAUUAUUGGGCGUAAAGCGCGCGCAGGUGGGUUCUUUAAGUCUGAUGUGGGAAGCCCCCGGGCUCAACCGGGGAGGGUCAUUGGAAACUGGGGAACUUGAGUGCAGGAGAGGAAAGUGGAAUUCCACGUGUAGCGGUGAAAUGCGUAGAUAUGUGGAGGAACACCAGUGGCGAAGGCGACUUUCUGGCCUGUAACUGACACUGAGGCGCGAAAGCGUGGGGAGCAAACAGGAUUAGAUACCCUGGUAGUCCACGCCGUAAACGAUGAGUGCUAAGUGUUGGGGGGUUUCCGCCCCUCAGUGCUGCAGCUAACGCAUUAAGCACUCCGCCUGGGGAGUACGGUCGCAAGACUG
rnacentral:rRNA from 1 species